rnacentral:rRNA from 1 species
GUGGGGAAUUUUGGACAAUGGGCGCAAGCCUGAUCCAGCAAUGCCGCGUGCAGGAAGAAGGCCUUCGGGUUGUAAACUGCUUUUGUACGGAACGAAACGGUCCUGGCUAAUAUCCGGGGCUAAUGACGGUACCGUAAGAAUAAGCACCGGCUAACUACGUGCCAGCAGCCGCGGUAAUACGUAGGGUGCAAGCGUUAAUCGGAAUUACUGGUCGUAAAGCGUGCGCAGGCGGUUUUGUAAGACAGGCGUGAAAUCCCCGGGCUCAACCUGGGAAUUGCGCUUGUGACUGCAAGGCUGGAGUGCGGCAGAGGGGGAUGGAAUUCCGCGUGUAGCAGUGAAAUGCGUAGAUAUGCGGAGGAACACCGAUGGCGAAGGCAAUCCCCUGGGCCUGCACUGACGCUCAUGCACGAAAGCGUGGGGAGCAAACAGGAUUAGAAACCCUAGUAGUCC